rnacentral:rRNA from 1 species
UACGUAGGUGGUAAGCGUUAUCCGGAUUUACUGGGUGUAAAGGGCGUGUAGGCAGGUCUGUAAGUCAGAUGUGAAAUCUCCGGGCUUAACUCGGAAGGGUCAUCUGAAACUACGGAUCUUGAGUACUGGAGAGGAUAGUGGAAUUCCUAGUGUAGCGGUAAAAUGCGUAGAUAUUAGGAGGAACACCAGUGGCGAAGGCGGCUAUCUGGACAGUAACUGACGCUGAGGCGCGAAAGCGUGGGGAGCAAAC